rnacentral:rRNA from 1 species
UACGUAGGCAGCAAGCGUUGUUCGGAGUUACUGGGCGUAAAGGGUGUGUAGGCGGUUCACUAAGUUCGGUGUGAAAUCUCCCGGCUUAACUGGGAGGGUGCAUUGAAAACUGGUGGGCUUGAGUAUGGGAGAGGUAAGCGGAAUUCCUGGUGUAGCGGUGAAAUGCGUAGAUAUCAGGAGGAACACCUGUGGUGUAGACAGCUUACUGGACCAUCACUGACGCUGAAACACGAAAGCGUGGGUAGCAGACAGG